CCUACGGGGGGCAGCAGUGGGGAAUAUUGGACAAUGGGGGCAACCCUGAUCCAGCCAUGCCGCGUGUGUGAAGAAGGCCCUCGGGUUGUAAAGCACUUUCAGUGAGGAAGAACGCCUGGUGGUUAAUACCCAUCAGGAAAGACAUCACUCACAGAAGAAGCACCGGCUAACUCCGUGCCAGCAGCCGCGGUAAUACGGAGGGUGCGAGCGUUAAUCGGAAUUACUGGGCGUAAAGCGCGCGUAGGUGGCUUGAUAAGCCGGUUGUGAAAGCCCCGGGCUCAACCUGGGAACGGCAUCCGGAACUGUCAAGCUAGAGUGCAGGAGAGGAAGGUAGAAUUCCCGGUGUAGCGGUGAAAUGCGUAGAGAUCGGGAGGAAUACCAGUGGCGAAGGCGGCCUUCUGGACUGACACUGGCACUGAGGUGCGAAAGCGUGGGUAGCAAACAGGAUUAGAUACCCCUGUAGUC
rnacentral:rRNA from 1 species